rnacentral:snoRNA from 1 species
CUGCAUUUAUUUGAUAGAUCUGCAGCAGUUGCUUGCCUGCUGCUAAGGUUGCCAUUAUAGAUGCAAGAAAAAUUUGUCCUUGCACUUUCUGUGUCUCUGAUGUAACUGAAUCAUCAUUCAGCUCCGACUGAAUAGGGGAAUAGGGGA